UUGAACGCUGGCGGCAUGCCUUACACAUGCAAGUCGCACGGCAGCACGGGUGCUUGCACCUGGUGGCGCGUGGCGAACGGGUGAGUAAUACAUCGGAACAUGUCCUGUAGUGGGGGAUAGCCCGGCGAAAGCCGGAUUAAUACCGCAUACGAUCUACGGAUGAAAGCGGGGGACCUUCGGGCCUCGCGCUAUAGGGUUGGCCGAUAGCUGAUUAGCUAGUUGGUGGGGUAAAGGCCUACCAAGGCGACGAUCAGUAGCUGGUCUGAGAGGACGACCAGCCACACUGGGACUGAGACACGGCCCAGACUCCUACGGGAGGCAGCAGUGGGGAAUUUUGGACAAUGGGCGAAAGCCUGAUCCAGCAAUGCCGCGUGUGUGAAGAAGGCCUUCGGGUUGUAAAGCACUUUUGUCCGGAAAGAAAUCCUUGGCUCUAAUACAGUCGGGGGAUGACGGUACCGGAAGAAUAAGCACCGGCUAACUACGUG
rnacentral:rRNA from 1 species